rnacentral:rRNA from 1 species
GACGAACGCUGGCGGCGUGCUUAACACAUGCAAGUCGAACGGAGCGAAUGAAAGCUUGCUUUUAUAAGCUUAGUGGCAAACGGGUGAGUAACACGUAGGCAACCUGCCGACAGGAUGGGGACAACAUUCCGAAAGGAAUGCUAAUACCGAAUGAAGUCAGAGGAGGGCAUCCUCUUCUGAUGAAAGAUGGCCUCUAUAUAUAAGCUAUCACCUGUCGAUGGGCCUGCGUCUGAUUAGCUGGUAGGUGAGGUAACGGCUCACCUAGGCGACGAUCAGUAGCCGGUCUGAGAGGAUGAACGGCCACAUUGGGACUGAGACACGGCCCAGACUCCUACGGGAGGCAGCAGUGGGGAAUCUUCCGCAAUGGGCGCAAGCCUGACGGAGCAACGCCGCGUGAGUGAAGAAGGUCUUCGGAUCGUAAAGCUCUGUUGAUGGGGACGAACGUGCCUAAUGCGAAUAGUUUUAGGUAANGACG